GUCCUAGCCCUAAACGAUGCUCAUUAGGUGUGGGAGGUAUCGACCCCUUCCGCGCCGUAGCUAACGCAUUAAAUGAGCCGCCUGGGGAGUACGGCCGCAAGGUUGAAACUCAAAGGAAUUGACGGGGGCCCCGCACAAGCGGUGGAGCAUGUGGUUUAAUUCGACGCAACGCGAAGAACCUUACCUGGGCUUGAACUACUGGUAGUAAGUCUUUGGAAACAUAGACUGAUCCGCAAGGAAGCCAGCAGAGGUGCUGCAUGGUUGUCGU
rnacentral:rRNA from 1 species